AGGCGACAGCCCGGAGCAGCGGCACGGGUUUGAUGGGAGGGAGCUCGGAGUGCGGUCCUAGCUCGAAGCGGCGGCCCUCCGGGUUCCCAGGAACUGUUGGAAGAAAACUCUUAAGAGAAGAAAAAGCAAGGAAAAAAAAAGACUUUUAUCAGAAGGGCAGGUAAUGGCAAGAUUUAAUUCUUUGAAAAAAGAAAUCAUCCAACUUUUCACAUCUAUCUAACUGAAGUUUCACUAACUGGAG